UUACUAACCAAACUGGACAACGAUCCAGCAAGUCUUGAGUCAUGGUUCAACCGCCAUAAACUGUCAAAAUAACCGAACCAUAGUAAUGACCGGUUUAGGUUAAACCGUCCGGUAUGGUUCAAUUUUUAAAACACUAAUUCUUAGUUAUGUUAACAGUUUGAUUGCAAUCUCAAAGUAUCCUUUACAUGACUAAUUACAGAGAUGCAGAUAAUGAUGAUUGGGCUAUAGAUGUUGCUACUAAAACAAUUCAAAAGCUGAUGGAGAUUGAGAAAACAAUUUUACAUCCAAAAGAGUCUAUAGUUACCAUCAAAGACGAGCUACAAGAACAUGAAAACCAAAUGAACCAAUCUGCAUAUGAAUAUAAUUUUUCGGAUGUAGGUGAUAGAAAUUCUUUAGAGGAUAAAGUAGACUCAGAGGAGCAUGAGUCCGAAGUUGCUAUUGAUGCAGAAACGGAUUCAUCAACAUUUAGUCCUAGGGAGGGAUCAUUAGAAGAGAGAGAUUAUGUUUAUACAGACAGUGUAAAUAUGAGGCAAGUUAGUAUCAGUUAUGUGCAAUUAGAGAAUACUGAUUUUGAAAAGGAAGCAGAUGCAGAAAAUGAUGAAUUGACUCCUGCACCUUCCCUGGGUGUGGUAGGACAAAAUUCUGAUCAAGCUGAAUAAAAAUCAGAGAAGAGUCCAAUAAUUGUAUAAUUUCUUCAUAAUAUAUUUACAUAAUUUUAGUUUUCCACUUGUUUAAAGCCUACUUGACUUAUUUGGAUGCUUUCAUGCUCAAGUAGACAUGUGCACCACACCUAAUCUAACCACCCAAAACCUCUAUUAUGACAAGUUUAACAAAAAUGAUAAAGUAAACUGAAUUUAAAGAUGUAAAACAUUCAAUCAGGAUAUGUCUGGUGCCUAAAAAUUCAAAUCAGAAGAAUAAAAGUCGCUUUUUGAUAAAUAAAACUUCCUUCUUGCCUUUGCAAAAAUAAAAUAAGCAACAUUUAUAACCUAAUCAUCACUAUCUGUACUACAAAAUAAUAACAUGAAAAAACUAUCAUCAGGAUUCAGGAGAAACACCUACAUGAGUUAUGUAAAGGAUACUUUGAGAUUUUAUAAUUUGUUUUUAGAGUUUACAGAGCUGUAAAUAAUAAACAACUUCAAAAACAUAUGCAUUACUUGAAAGGGUCAAAGGAUUGUUGGAGAAGUAUCCUCCAUGCAUUUCAAUAUCCACCACGAAUUACAUAUCCAAAAUAAACUGCUCAAGGAACAAAGAUAAAUAAUUGCUUUAAGUAGGUAGAAAUCAUGUGAUAAACACAGCCUCGUGUUUUAGGAGGAAUCUGCAACGAACUUUCUAGA
rnacentral:lncRNA from 1 species